UAAAAAAAUGGUCAAAGCCCGAAGCACGGGUGUUUUUAGAAUUGACUGGUCAAUGCACGAAACAACCAAGCGUCUUGGUCAAAGCCCAAAAUAGUUGUAUCGUAGUGACAUAUAUAAAAUAGAUUAGUUAGGUUAGGUUAGAUUAGGUUUUCACGAGGAGGAAGUGCCCGCUCACACGUUACGAUAAUAUAAGAUACAAACAAAAUAUUUUAUUCGUCUCAAAUGUCUAUUUGAGCUUUGACCAAAACGCUUGGUUCCGCAUUGAGGCCUGGUUUAUGCGAGCAAUAACCGUUAACUUAUGCCGGAACCGGAAUACGGCCAUACGGCGUAAUGCAAGCGGAAGAUGUGGACAUGUGGAAAAUACCGCAAAACGAUGAAGACAUGGAGACAGAUAUACAUUUAAUAACUUUAGUGGAACGAUUUCCACACUUAUACGAUAAAAAAGAUGUAAAAUAUAAAGACCGGACGGCUGUGGAUAAUUCGUGGCAAUUUAUAAGUGGAGAAUUAAAAAUACCAGCUGCUGAUUGUAUUAAUCGAUAGUUGGCAUUACGGAAUAGAUUUUCUAAAGAAAGAGCUAAACAACCUCCUUCAGGAUCAGGUCUGCAAACAGAAUGGUCAUUAAUGAAGUAUUUAGCAUUUUUACAUCCUGUGGUUAAAAAACGACGAACGUUUGGAAAUAUUAUAACAGAAGAUGAAUCAAACUCUUCCUGGAAAUUGCAAAACUUGGAUUCACAGAGACCUACAACACCAAGCACAUUUACACCACAGAGACCCACAACACCAACCACAUCUACACCACAAAGACCCGCAACACCAAACAAAUCAACACCACAGAGACCCACAACACCAAGCACAUUUACACCACAGAGACCCAUAACACCAAACACAUUUGAUCCAAAGAGAUUUAAAAAUCAAAAAAGAA